GACGAACGCUGGCGGCGUGCCUAAUACAUGCAAGUUGAGCGCUGAAGGUUGGUCCUUGUUCCAACUGGAUGAGCAGCGAACGGGUGAGUAACGCGUGGGGAAUCUGCCUUUGAGCGGGGGACAACAUUUGGAAACGAAUGCUAAUACCGCAUAAAAACUUUAAACACAAGUUUUAAGUUUGAAAGAUGCAAUUGCAUUACUCAAAGAUGAUCCCGCGUUGUAUUAGCUAGUUGGUGAGGUAAAGGCUCACCAAGGCGAUGGUACAUAGCCGACCUGAGAGGGUGAUCGGCCACAAUGGAACUGGGACCACGCCCAAACUCCUACGGGAGGGAGCAGUAGGGAAUCUUCGGCAAUGGACGAAAGUCUGACCGAGGCACGCCGCGGUAGUGAAGAAGGUUUUCGGGUCGUAAAACUCUGGUGAUAGAGAAGAAAGUUAGGGAGAGUGGAAAGCUCACCAAGUGACGGUAACUACUCAGAAAGGGACGGCUAACUACGUG
rnacentral:rRNA from 1 species